CCUGACUGCUAUUGGAGUGGGACUAAGUCACGCUAGUCAAAGGUGCGGAAUGGAGCACCUGGCGUACGGCUCAGUAACACGUAGUCAACCUGCCCUAAGGACGAGGACAACCACGGGAAACUGUGGAUAAUACUCGAUAAGAAAUUUGGCCUGGAACGGUAUCUUUCACAAAACCGGCUCGCCGUGAGACACGGGCCUUAGGAUGGGGCUGCGGUCGAUUAUGCUAGAUGGCGGUGUAAAGGACACCAUGGCUAUGAUCGGUAUGGGCGAUGGAAGUCGGAGCCCAGAGUCGGCUACUGAGACAAGGAGCCGAGCUUUACGAAGCUUAGCGGUCGCGAAAACUCGCCAAUGCACGAAAGUGUGAGUGGGCUACUCCAAGUGUCAUUCUUACGGAUGACUGUCGCUCAGUCUUACCGGCUGAGAAAGGAAGGAGAGGGCAAGGCUGGUGCCAGCCGCCGCGGUAAAACCAGCUCUUCGAGUGGUCAGGACGAAUAUUGGGUCUAAAGCGCUCGUAGCCGGACAAGUAGGUUCUUGGUUAAACCCGACAGCAUAACUGUUGGCCUGCUGGGAAUACCGCUAGUCUUGGAAGCGGGAGAGGACAGAGGUAGUCAUGGGGCAGGGGUGAAAUCCAGUGAUCCCAUGGCGACCACCGAUGGCGAAGGCAUCUGUCUGGAACGUAUUCGACGGUGAGGGGCGAAAGCUAGGGGAGCGACCCGGAUUAGAUACCCGGUUAGUCCUAGCCGUAAACGAUGCGGACUAGGUGUUACAGCGGCCAAGAGCCACUGUAGUGCCACAGCGAAGGCGUUAAGUCCGCCACCUGGGGAGUACGGAUGCAAGUCUGAAACUUAAAGGAAUUGACGGGGGCGCACCACCAGGAGUGAAGCCUGCGGUUU
rnacentral:rRNA from 1 species